rnacentral:rRNA from 1 species
AUUGAACGCUGGCGGCAUGCUUUACACAUGCAAGUCGAACGGCAGCACGGGUGCUUGCACCUGGUGGCGAGUGGCGGACGGGUGAGUAAUGCAUCGGAACGUGUCCUAAAGUGGGGGAUAACGCAUCGAAAGAUGUGCUAAUACCGCAUAAUCUCUGAGGAGAAAAGUAGGGGAUCGAAAGACCUUAUGCUUUUGGAGCGGCUGAUGUCUGAUUAGCUAGUUGGUAAGGUAAUGGCUUACCAAGGCGACGAUCAGUAGUUGGUCUGAGAGGACGACCAGCCACACUGGGACUGAGACACGGCCCAGACUCCUACGGGAGGCAGCAGUGGGGAAUUUUGGACAAUGGGCGCAAGCCUGAUCCAGCAAAUGCCGCGUGAGUGAAGAAGGCCUGG